rnacentral:rRNA from 1 species
GAUGAACGCUGGCGGCGUGCCUAAUACAUGCAAGUCGAGCGAACAGACGAGGAGCUUGCUCCUCUGACGUUAGCGGCGGACGGGUGAGUAACACGUGGAUAACCUACCUAUAAGACUGGGAUAACUUCGGGAAACCGGAGCUAAUACCGGAUAAUAUAUUUAACCGCAUGGUUCAAUAGUGAAAGACGGUUUUGCUGUCACUUAUAGAUGGAUCCGCGCGGCAUUAGCUAGUUGGUAAGGUAACGGCUUACCAAGGCAACGAUGCGUAGCCGCCCUGAGAGGGGGAUCGGCCACACUGGAACUGAGACACGGUCCAGACUCCUACGGGAGGCAGCAGUAGGGAAUCUUCGGCAAUGGGCGAAAGCCUGACGGAGCAACGCCGCGUGAGUGAUGAAGGUCUUCGGAUCUUAAAACUUUGUUAUUAGGGAAGACCAAAUGUGUAAGUAACUAUGCACGUCUUGACGGUACCUAAUCAGAAAGCCACGGCUAACUACGUG